rnacentral:rRNA from 1 species
UACAGAGGUGGCAAGCGUUGUUCGGAAUUACUGGGCGUAAAGGGCGCGUAGGCGGCCUUCUAAGUCAGACGUGAAAUCCCCCGGCUUAACCUGGGAACUGCGUCUGAUACUGGGAGGCUAGAGUAUGGGAGAGGGAUGUAGAAUUCCAGGUGUAGCGGUGAAAUGCGUAGAUAUCUGGAGGAACCCCAGAGGCGAAGGCGGCGCCCUGGCUCGCAACUGACGCUCAGACACGACAGCAUGGGGAGCGAACGGG